AACCAGCUCCUCGAGUAGUCAAGACGAUUAUUGGGCCUAAAGCGUCCGUAGCCGGUCCGGCAAGUCUCUGGUCAAAUCUAACGGCUCAACCGUUAGGCUGCUAGAGAUACUGCCAGACUCGGAGGCGGGAAAGGUCGAGGGUACUCUCAGGGUAGGGGUGAAAUUCGAUAAUCCUGAGGGGACCACCAGUGGCGAAGGCGCUCGACUGGAACGCGCUCGACGGUGAGGGACGAAAGCUAGGGGAGCGAACCGG
rnacentral:rRNA from 1 species